rnacentral:tRNA from 1 species
GCCUAGUUAGCUUAGUUGGUAGCGCGUCUGCCUCGUAAGCGCUAGGCCGCAGGUUCGAUUCCCGCCCGGGGCG